GAGAUGUGUAGCCAGAGCGCAGAGCAGUGCAUCCACUCUGGGAGAGCGUGGACCUGGUUCCUGGGGGCGAUCGCCAGUCACCCAUCAACAUUCGGUGGAGGGACAGUGUUUAUGAUCCCGGCUUAAAACCACUGACCAUCUCUUAUGACCCAGCCACCUGCCUCCACGUCUGGAAUAAUGGGUACUCUUUCCUCGUGGAAUUUGAAGAUUCUACAGAUAAAUCAGCUGCACUUAGUGCAUUGGAACGCAGUCAAAUUUGAAAACUUUGAGGAUGCAGCACUGGAAGAAAAUGGUUUGGCUGUGAUAGGAGUAUUUUUAAAGAUUUCGGAAACUUCUGGCAGCCCAGUGUCUACUGGAAGGCCCAAGCCGCUUGCCAGAAAGCUGCGCCCCGCCCAAAAGCACUGGGUUCUGCAGUCCAGGCCCUUCCUCAGCUCCCAGGUCCAGGAGAACUGCAAGGUCACCUACUUCCACAGGAAGCACUGGGUCCGCAUCCGGCCCCUCCGCACCACUCCUCCCAGCUGGGACUACACCCGCAUCUGCAUCCAGAGAGAGAUGGUCCCCGCCCGCAUCCGCGUCCUGAGAGAGAUGGUCCCCGAGGCCUGGAGGUGCUUUCCCAACAGGCUGCCGCUGCUGAGCAACAUCAGGCCUGAUUUCUCCAAGGCUCCCCUGGCCUACGUGAAGCGGUGGCUUUGGACCGCCCGCCACCCCCACAGCCUGUCCGCAGCCUGGUGACCGUGAAAAUCGCCCCGCCAGAGAGCAGAGGAAGCCCGACGCCCAGGCCAUCUGCCUUCAGGUCUGUGAUGAGAAACGGAGUGGCCUGUUCCGUUGUGCCCAGGUCUAGGCCGCUGAGCAGAGCCCUCACUCCCAGGCAGAGUUGUCUGAAUCCUUCCUGGCGGCCGCCUGCUGCCCUGACGCCUCAGGCUUGCCUGCACCUGGAAGGAGCUUCGCCAGGUGGGCCAUGAGCCUCUGAGCACACCCAGCCUGCUGCCCGGCUCCAAGAGUCAGGCCCCUGCCACCACCUCCUGAGCCUCCAGCCCUCAGCACCUUCACCCUACUGACCGCGGUUCUACCCCCACACCAGCCACCGGCCCCACCGGGGCACUUCCCACUGCUCCAGCCGACCACUCAGCGAGCCCCAGGCCCACCUCUCCUCUCCCUUAAAGCCCUUCCCUUGCCCUUGCCCAUUCGCUCCUGCCUUCUCCCUGGGGACAGGAGGCAUGCUUCUCCCCAGUUUCCACAAUAAAAUAUUUGUUGUUAAUAAUAA
rnacentral:lncRNA from 1 species